CGCCACCACCACGUCCUGGGGCGCCAGCACCACCCUGGCAAAGCUCUCAUCUUGGGGGGGAGAGGCACAGGCAGCACGUGAACAGCAGGAAAGAAACCCCAUGCUUUAAACAGAUGCCUUAGCACCAGGCUGAGAUACCAAGAUGACCCUGGUUGGCCCUGGAACAGGCAUUUUGCAGAUUCUGUGCAAUCAAGUGAGUGACCGUGACCUCUCCCACGCACGAGGCCAGCCGGCCACAGGACAGUGGCUGACCCCUCCACACCUCGGACUCGUCCUGGCUGCAGGGCCCGGGGCCCCAUGAGGUACUUCCUGAUGCCUGGCUGCCCCCGAGAGCUCCGGCCUCAGUGGCUCCUAGUGGGGCAUGCAGAUCCCUGAGGGAGAGGCUGGCCAACUUCCUGUGCCCUGUCUGGGGCGGAGCAUCAGGACACAGGCCAGGAGAGGCUGCCCUCAACCAGAGGCACAAAUGCGCCAGUCAGCAGAGGGGCCCCCAGGACCCCCACCCACAGGAGGACAGCCCUCCUCACAAGUCCACUCCAGCUGGAAACUCCAGGGGCGCCGAGUGAGAGCCCCAGGAGUACCCUGCCCACUCGUCCUCCCCGAGGGACCCGUGCACGUGGCACAGACCCGUGGCCUUCAGGGGUCUAGCCGGCACACUUUCAGGGGCUCUGGAGCCACUCACAGGUCCGUGGCUGAGGCAUUUGGAAGUUUCUGGAGAAACAAA